rnacentral:rRNA from 1 species
UACGUAGGGGGCAAGCGUUGUCCGGAAUCAUUGGGCGUAAAGCGCGUGUAGGCGGUCCGGUAAGUCCGCUGUAAAAGUCGGGGGCUCAACCCUCGGAUGCCGGUGGAUACUGUCGGGCUCGAGUCCGGAAGAGGCGAGUGGAAUUCCUGGUGUAGCGGUGAAAUGCGCAGAUAUCAGGAGGAACACCAAUGGCGAAGGCAGCUCGCUGGGACGUGACUGACGCUGAGACGCGAAAGCGUGGGGAGCAAACAGG